AUUUAAAUAGCUUAAAUAUUAUAUAAAGCUUAAUAUUGAAGAUAUUAGAAUGAUUUUAAAUCUUUAAAUA
rnacentral:tRNA from 1 species